rnacentral:rRNA from 1 species
AGUGAACGCUGGCGGUAGGCCUAACACAUGCAAGUCGAACGGCAGCACAGUAAGAGCUUGCUCUUACGGGUGGCGAGUGGCGGACGGGUGAGGAAUACAUCGGAAUCUACUUUUUCGUGGGGGAUAACGUAGGGAAACUUACGCUAAUACCGCAUACGACCUACGGGUGAAAGCAGGGGAUCUUCGGACCUUGCGCGAUUGAAUGAGCCGAUGUCGGAUUAGCUAGUUGGCGGGGUAAAGGCCCACCAAGGCGACGAUCCGUAGCUGGUCUGAGAGGAUGAUCAGCCACACUGGAACUGAGACACGGUCCAGACUCCUACGGGAGGCAGCAGUGGGGAAUAUUGGACAAUGGGCGCAAGCCUGAUCCAGCCAUACCGCGUGGGUGAAGAAGGCCUUCGGGUUGUAAAGCCCUUUUGUUGGGAAAGAAAAGCAGCAGGUUAAUACCCCGCUGUUCUGACGGUACCCAAAGAAUAAGCACCGGCUAGCUUCUUG